GACGAACGCUGGCGGCGUGCUUAACACAUGCAAGUCGAACGGAAAGGCCCUGCUUUUGUGGGGUGCUCGAGUGGCGAACGGGUGAGUAACACGUGAGUAACCUGCCCUUGACUUUGGGAUAACUUCAGGAAACUGGGGCUAAUACCGGAUAGGAGCUCCUGCUGCAUGGUGGGGGUUGGAAAGUUUCGGCGGUUGGGGAUGGACUCGCGGCUUAUCAGCUUGUUGGUGGGGUAGUGGCUUACCAAGGCUUUGACGGGUAGCCGGCCUGAGAGGGUGACCGGGCACAUUGGGACUGAGAUACGGCCCAGAAUCCUACGGGAGGCAGCAGUGGGGAAUAUUGCACAAUGGGCGGAAGCCUGAUGCAGCAACGCCGCGUGCGGGAUGACGGCCUUCGGGUUGUAAACCGCUUUCGCCGGUGACGAAGCGUGAGUGACGGUAAUGGGUAAAGAAGCACCGGCUAACUACGUG
rnacentral:rRNA from 1 species